rnacentral:misc_RNA from 1 species
GAUGAAGAACGUAGCGAAAUGCGAUAAGUAGUGUGAAUUGCAGAAUUCAGUGAAUCAUCGAAUCUUUGAACGCACAUUGCGCCCCUUGGUAUUCCAUGGGGCAUGCCUGUUCGAGCGUCAUUUGUACCUUCAAGCUUUGCUUGGUGUUGGGUGUUUGUCCCUCGGGACUCGCCUUAAAGUCAUUGGCAGCCAGUGUUUUGGUUUUGAAGCGCAGCACAAGUCGCGAUUCAAGGCUAUCCGCCCGCUUCCACAAGCCUUUUUCACUUUUGACCUCGGAUCAGGUAGGGAUACCCGCUGAAAUUAAGCAUAUCAAUAAGCGGAGGA